rnacentral:tRNA from 1 species
GACUCGCUAGCUCAGUUGGUAGAGCACUUGACUCUUAAUCAAGGGGUCGUGGGUUCGACCCCCACGCGGGUCA